rnacentral:rRNA from 1 species
AUUGAACGCUGGCGGCAGGCCUAACACAUGCAAGUCGAGCGAGCGGCGGACGGGUGAGUAAUGUCUGGGAAACUGCCUGAUGGAGGGGGAUAACUACUGGAAACGGUAGCUAAUACCGCAUACCCUCAGCUUUGCCCAGAUGGGCUUAGCUAGUAGGUGGGGUAACGGCUCACCUAGGCGAAGAUCCCUCGCUGGUCUGAGAGGAUGACCAGGCACACCGGAAUGGAGAACAGGGCCAGACUCCUACGGGAUGGAGCGGUGGGGAAUUUUGCACAAUGGGCGCAAGCCUGAUGCAGCCAUGCCGCGUGUGUGAAGAAGGCCUUCGGGUUGUAAAGCACUUUCAGCGGGGAGGCGUUACCCGCAGAAGAAGCACCGGCUAACUCCGUGCCAGCAGCCGCGGUAAUUC